rnacentral:tRNA from 1 species
GCCGGAGUGGUGGAAUUGGUAGACGCGCAGGGUUCAGGGCUCUGUAUCCGCAAGGGUGUGUCGGUUCGAGUCCGACCUCCGGCA